UACGGGGGGGGCAAGCGUUGUUCGGAAUUACUGGGCGUAAAGGGUUCGUAGGUGGCCCGCUAAGUCAGACGUGAAAUCCCUCAGCUCAACUGGGGAACUGCGUCUGAGACUGGCGGGCUUGAGUGCAGGAGAGGAACGCGGAAUUCCAGGUGUAGCGGUGAAAUGCGUAGAUAUCUGGAGGAAUACCGGUGGCGAAGGCGGCAUCCUGGACCAUAACUGACGCUGAGGCGCGAAAGCUAGGGGAGCAAACGGG
rnacentral:rRNA from 1 species